UACGAAGGGGGCUAGCGUUGCUCGGAAUCACUGGGCGGAAAGGGCGCGUAGGCGGCGUUUUAAGUCGGGGGUGAAAGCCUGUGGCUCAACCACAGAAUGGCCUUCGAUACUGGGACGCUUGAGUAUGGUAGAGGUUGGUGGAACUGCGAGUGUAGAGGUGAAAUUCGUAGAUAUUCGCAAGAACCCCGGUGGCGAAGGCGGCCAACUGGACCAUUACUGACGCUGAGGCCCGAAAGCGUGGGGAGCAAACAGG
rnacentral:rRNA from 1 species